rnacentral:rRNA from 1 species
GACGAACGCUGGCGGCGUGCUUAACACAUGCAAGUCGAACGAAGUGGCGAACGGGUGAGUAACGCGUAAUCAACCUGCUCUUCAGAGGGGGACAAAAGGUGGAAACGACGGCUAAAACCGCAUCCGGAAGAAGGGGAAUGGGUGGUAUUUGCUAGUGGGAGGGGGAACUGCCCACCAAGGCGAUGAUCAGUCGCCGGUCUGAGAGGAUGGACGGCCAAAUUUGGACUGAAAAACGGCCCAGAAUCCUACGGGAGGCAGCAGUGGGGAAUCUUCCGCAAUGGGCGAAAGUUUGACGGAGCAACGCCGCGUGAGUGAUGACGGCCUUCGGGUUGUAAAGCUCUGUUAAUCGGGACGCGGUACCGGAAUAGAAAGCCACGGCUAACUACGUGCCAGCAGCCGCGGUAAUUC